CUUUUAAAAUGUGGAUGUGCAAAACUGAAAGACUAAACUCUCUGCCUGAACAUUCAGGGUGUAGGAGGAAAUGUAGCUCAUCACAUGACCUUGUAGGACCUUGGCCUGUUUAGCUGUUACAUAAAGGAUAUAUUUAUUUCUUGCUCUUGUUCAGUGUAGGCUUCUGUACAUAUGCCGGUUGUUUCAGUACUGGUCUUUGUUACUGUUUAUUCUAUUUAUGAAACUGAUAUGUCAUAUCUGACAGUCAAGUUUAGGACGGAAAUUUUCUGGGGUUCUUAAGGACCAGUUUGUAAUUCCAUCACUUUACAGAGAUAUGAGAGAAGCGCAUCUCAGAUUUGUUAUUUCCAUUUCGGUUUUUCAUCUAUAUAUAUAUAUACAUAUUAGUUUCCUUGCACAAUUUUUCCUUGCACAAUUAAUUUCCUUGCACAAUCAGAAGAACUGAGACAACGAAAAGUACAUUUCAUAUGGUGUUUCUUUGUAGCAAGAGAGUUUGGCUUUGAGCAUUACUUCUGCAAGCACUACAAUGGAAAAAACUUCUUGAAUCCUUUGCUUGAAGAAUUGCAACUACUGCCCAAGAACUUGCCAGUCAAGAUGAAAAACUUCUUCUAAUGGAAUCCAGCUUGAAAGCAACUCAAGAGCAGCUAAGUGAGCAAACAGCAGAAACAGUUCACCAAGAACAGAACAGUAGAAAAUCAGAGAGAGAGCUGAAUGAAGACCCUGAGAGAACGUAUUAUAGCAUCUGAAGAAGAAAUUAGUGGUUACAACACAAGAAUGUCCAGUCAUGGACUUCUGUAUGUCAUUGAACCAACUGGCUGUAUACUAUAUUACCAUGACAGAAAACAGUGCACUGGCAGCAGCUCGCAAACACACAGAAUCCAGAGGCCUUCCAAGUGUCACUAUAGCAAAGUUUACACAGCCUUUGGACAAUAAAGUGAGUGGAUAGGUUUCUACUGAUGUUAAGUCUUCCAGAUUAAAGGAAAGUACUGUGUACAUUUGGC
rnacentral:lncRNA from 1 species